rnacentral:rRNA from 1 species
AUGGAUUCCUCCCCCGCCAAAGCUCUUUGGGGCGGGCUGAUGCCGGACCAGAAGAAGGAGAUGGCUGCCAUUGCUGCCGGUUGGCCGACCAACAGGCAGCCGGAGGACGACGACAUCCCAAUGGAGGACGCGGCCGACGACGAGUCGGCGCCACCCACCUUGUUCAUGCCACCCUCCUCCUCUGUGCCACCCUCGCCAGUGCAUUGCACCAUGACCAUGGGCGAGGCCCAUGCCCAUUACAUGGACAUGGUCUGGGAGGAGCGGGAGGAGCAAUUCCGGGAGGUGCAGGCCGACGCCGCCUACAACCACCAACUCCUCCUGGAGCACCUAUAG